GUCGGCAGCUAGCUCUCUGAAACUCUAACAUGGUCGCUUACUGAAGCUAAGCGGGGUUGCGCCCGGUCAAUACCUAGAUGGGAGACCACAUGGGAAAGCUUGGUUGCUGCCGGAA
rnacentral:rRNA from 1 species